GCUCCCGUAGUUCAACGGAUAGAACAAGAGCCUUCUAAGCUCUGGAUGUAGGUUCAAUUCCUACCGGGGGCACCA
rnacentral:tRNA from 1 species